UCUCCACCCCAAAAAUCUCAGCUUUGUUUCACACUCAAAACUCUCACUUUCCCUCUCACUUGCCCACCUACCAUAAAAAAUCAGAUCAACCCUACCCUACUCUCGGUCUCUAGAAGAGAAGAGAAGAGAAGAGAAGAUAAACCCCACACCACUGCUUCUCUUCUGUUUGAUGAAGAUUUUACUGUUUUGAUUUUGAGUUAUGGAGAGGAGAGAAGUUGUGAAGGUUGAGAAAUUUGAUGGAUCUCCGGCAUUUAGUACUACUAAUGAUCAUGUUCAAACUAGCUAUCCAUUUAUGCAGGGUCAAUAUGGUUUUAACUUUGUUGAUGGAGAUAAGAACGCUUUAGGGUUCAUGGAGCUACUGGGUAUGCAAGACUUUAGUCCUUUGCUUGAUAUGAUACAGGUACCAGUACCACCUGCGCAGGCUCCAAAUGUUCAAGUAGUUACGGAGUCGCCACCAGAGUUGUUGAAUCAGCCUGCUACACCUAACUCUUCAUCGAUUUCAUCGGCUUCUAGUGAAGGUUUGAACGACGAGCCUGUUAAUAAGAGUGUUGAUGACGAGGUAGAGGAGCAAGAAAAGAACAAGAAAGAGUUGAAACCAAAGAAGACAAAUCAGAAGAGACAGAGAGAGCCGAGGUUCGCAUUCAUGACAAAGAGCGAGGUUGAUCAUCUGGAAGAUGGGUACAGAUGGAGAAAGUACGGCCAAAAAGCUGUGAAAAAUAGCCCUUUUCCUAGGAGUUACUAUCGUUGCACCACUGCCUCGUGUAAUGUGAAGAAGAGAGUGGAGAGGUCUUUCAGUGAUCCAAGCGUAGUUGUGACCACUUAUGAAGGUCAACACACCCAUCCUAGCCCGGUCAUGCCUCGUCCAAACUUUACUGGACCUGCAUCUGAUUCUGGUUUCUCGUCCACUGCUGCCUUUGUGAUGCCAAUGCAAAGGAGAUUAUCUUUCUAUCAACAACAUCAAAGUCGACAACAACAACCACCUUUUGUCAACAGCCUCUCACCUUUGGGUUUUGGUUACAAUGGAAGCAACACAAAUGCUGCUGCGAUUAAUUAUCUAAAAUAUGAGAAGCGCUUUUGCAGCAGCUCAGGGUCGACUUUACUCAAUGAUCAUGGGCUUCUUCAAGAUCUCGUCCCCUCCCAUAUGCUAAAGGAAGAGUAGAGGAGAAGUCUGUGUUACUGCUUUGUAGUUUCCCUUUAACUGACUUCUCUAAAAGAGUUGCAGAUGAAAGACCCCUUAAUGAUAUGGCAUCAUGGAAUGUGCAUUGAUUUCAAGGACUGAAGACUUUUGAGUGCUAGGGUUUCUUCUUGAGGAUGCAGUUUGCUAGGGAAGCUUUCUAGCUUCUCUCUUUGUCCGGGAAUCCGCAAAAUUAUUUGUUUUUCUUAGAAAAGGAACUCAGUCGUGAGAAUUUGGUGGAGAAAAUUAAUGUGCUGUCUCUUCUGAAUAUGAACCGAGGGAAACAAGGAGGAAGAAUAUCUUAACCACUCCAGAGUCUACUCCUAUUUUUAGCUUUGUAAUUAAGUAAUGCUCUUUUGUUUUUU